ensembl:lncRNA
GUUGUUGGUCGGAGCACGUCACGGCUUGAGUGUUUAUUAAUCCUGCUGUAGAAUUCGUUGCUGCCAGCAGGUCAAACGAACGACUAAAAUGUAUCGGGGUAUGUUAAGAGACUUAAUUAAGCCUAUGCAACCGUACCACCGUUUGGCUGCCUAAAUAACAUCUGCGUAACGCCUGCGUGUAAGGUUAACAUGUCUUCAUACCAACGUCUUACUAACGUCUGUGUGACACCUGCGUCUGAGUGUAGCCUAUGCGGCAGAGACGAUGAAAAUAAUUACCAAGAUGUCCUUGAUCCAAUUGAGGAUUAAGAAGUGAUGAGCCAGAGAAAACAAUCAGCGUCACUGCAGCUGUUCUACAAACCACCCACACUGCUCACUCUCCACUAUCAACCGCAUCCUCUUCUCCUGUUCUAACUAAUUUGCUGCCACACUGAAAUUGAUUGUACAUACAUACCACUGUGCCCAUCUCAUUGCAACAUGAUCCAUCCCAGCCCUCAGCUGGAUGCCUAAAAUGUGAGAAAAGUGAACAAGAUGCUACAGUAGUGUGUGUGUGUCUGUGUGUGUCUGUGUGUGUGUGUGUGUGUGUGUGUGUGUGUGUGUGUGUGUGUAUAUGGAUGGAGUUCCAAGAAAAGACAUGAGAAGAUGGCAAAGGAGAUAGUGAUGACAGUAAAAGCAUACAGUAUGAAAAUAAAGACCCCUUGGGAUCUAAAAUGAGUGUGGGGGGCCCUCUUGUGUCUCCUUUUUGUCCAUUUUGAGGAUACCAUAGUCACCCCCACUGGGUGAUGAAAACCUUCAAAGGUGUUUGUGCUAUGUUGCGUGUUAUCUUGAAUACCUGGCAGAUGUUUCAGUACAGAAUGAAAUGAGUUCCAA